AGGUGUUCUUUUUAAUUUUAAGUUUUUAGUUACGAAACUCCAAAAAUAUUCUGCACAGAAGAAAAUGUUUCAGAGAAACCCUAUCCUUAGUGAUUUUUACAAAUACAUCCAGUCCCCCGUGAUGGUGCAAUACAUUGUAUUUAAAGAUGCAGACUUGCAGAAUUAUUAACUAUGUAGCUAGUAAAAUGUAUUCUUAGGAAGUAUGAAUAAAUACAACACUUCCCUUUUUCUGAGCACAUAAAGCACAACAGCGGCUCAGAAGCAGCAGAUCAGUAGUGAAAACCCUCAGCAAUCAUGGAUCCGUCCUCAGCAUCUUAUCAAAUGAUCAUUUUGUCCUGUUUGUUUUUGCUUCUGUCAGCUUUUACACCAGAUGGUGAGUAUCCUACAUACUGCACACACACUGUGUUCUCAAUAGUUUGUUUUAAUGUCAUACUAAACCCGUUUUAGAUUCACACAUAAGUCAAAAUAAUGGACUUCAAGCUAAAAAAGGUACUCAACAUGACACACUAUCAAAUUAAGUCAAUUAAAUUAAUAUCCUAUGCAAUUUGAGAUUUUUAAGCAAAUGUACUGUGUGUCCUGGAUUUUCACAUAUUGUAAUGGAUUUUUUUCAGUGUUACAUUUUCCCCGCAAAGAUGCUGUUGACCAAAAAGGCAAAAUCUGCUUCAGGAAUCCCACAACAGAAGAACCACAGAUUGAAAUCAGAGCUUGUUUCAACCUUCGAAAAACAAGACAUUGUCCUGCGUGUGUGUUGUUCAUUGAUAAAAAGAACAGGAUGUGCUGUAUAAAUCUUAAAGCACCUUGGCUCAGUGCAAAGAUAGAACAUCUAGAAAAGAAGGGGAUAAAGUGUAAAAAUAAACACUGAAAACUAGGCAGCUGUGAAUGUUAUCCAGAGUUUGAACUUCAGCACCCACACUACAAAGAAGAGAGGGGGGGGGGGUCCUAUGCUACGCUAUACAAUCCUGGUUCUUUCAUUCUUUUUCUUUUUGGCUUAGUCCCUUUAUUAAUCCCAUUAUUAAUCCCUUUAUUAAUCCCUUUAUUAA